rnacentral:rRNA from 1 species
UACGUAGGGUGCAAGCGUUGUCCGGAAUUAUUGGGCGUAAAGAGCUCGUAGGCGGUCUGUCACGUCGGCUGUGAAAACCCGAGGCUCAACCUCGGGCCUGCAGUCGAUACGGGCAAACUAGAGUACUGCAGGGGAGACUGGAAUUCCUGGUGUAGCGGUGAAAUGCGCAGAUAUCAGGAGGAACACCGGUGGCGAAGGCGGGUCUCUGGGCAUAUCCUGACGCUGAGGAGCGAAAGUGUGGGGAGCGAACAGG